rnacentral:rRNA from 1 species
UUAACUUCGGGAAACCGGAGCUAAUACCGGAUAAUAUAUUGAACCGCAUGGUUCAAUAGUGAAAGACGGUUUUGCUGUCACUUAUAGAUGGAUCCGCGCCGCAUUAGCUAGUUGGUAAGGUAACGGCUUACCAAGGCAACGAUGCGUAGCCGACCUGAGAGGGUGAUCGGCCACACUGGAACUGAGACACGGUCCAG